UCCCAAGUUCGGAUUGUAGGCUGCAACUCGCCUACAUGAAGUUGGAAUUGCUAGUAAUCGCGGAUCAGCAUGCCGCGGUGAAUACGUUCCCGGGCCUUGUACACACCGCCCGUCACACCAUGAGAGUCGGGAACACCCGAAGUCCGUAGCCUAACCGCAAGGGGGGCGCGGCCGAAGGUGGGUUCGAUAAUUGGGGUGAAGUCGUAACAAGGUAGC
rnacentral:rRNA from 1 species